rnacentral:rRNA from 1 species
CAGUAGCCACGGGAAUACGAAGGGUGCAAGCGUUAAUCGGAAUUACUGGGCGUAAAGCGUGCGUAGGCGGUGAGUUAAGUCUGCUGUGAAAUCCCCGGGCUCAACCUGGGAAUGGCAGUGGAUACUGGCUCGCUAGAGUGUGUCAGAGGAUGGUGGAAUUCCCGGUGUAGCGGUGAAAUGCGUAGAUAUUGGGAAGAACACCGGUGGCGAAGGCGGCGACCUGGUCCUUUACUGACGCUGAGGCGCGAAAGCGUGGGGAGCAAACAGGAUUAGAUACCCGAGUAGUCCCUGUCUCUUAUAA